ensembl:snoRNA SNORA70 Small nucleolar RNA SNORA70
CUGCAGCCAAUUAAACCAACCAUCCUCCUUCCCUGUGGGGGCCGGUGUGCAAUGGCUUGCCAACAGCACCCUCCACAGUAAUGUGCACAGCCUGUUGCACAUAUGAGUUGCCCUAAGGGAUCUUGGAGACAGUC